rnacentral:rRNA from 1 species
AGAGUUUGAUCAUGGCUCAGAUUGAACGCUGGCGACAUGCUUAACACAUGCAAGUCGAACGCGAAAGGGCUUUGGCCUGAGUAGAGUGGCGGACGGGUGAGUAAGGCGUGGGAAUCUGCCCUGUAGUGGGGGACAACCCGGGGAAACUCGGGCUAAUACCGCAUACGUCCUACGGGAGAAAGGGGGCCUCUGCUUGCAAGCUCCUGCUAGGGGAUGAGCCCACGUCCGAUUAGCUAGUUGGUGGGGUAAGGGCCUACCAAGGCGACGAUCGGUAGCUGGUCUGAGAGGAUGGCCAGCCACACUGGGACUGAGACACGGCCCAGACUCCUACGGGAGGCAGCAGUGGGGAAUAUUGGACAAUGGGCGCAAGCCUGAUCCAGCAAUGCCGCGUGUGUGAAGAAGGCCUGCGGGUUGUAAAGCACUUUCAGUGGGGAAGAAAAGCGGGGGGCUAAUACCGCCCUGUCUUGACGUUACCCACAGAAGAAGCACCGGCUAACUCCGUGCCAGCAGCCGCGGUAAUACGGAGGGUGCGAGCGUUAAUCGGAAUCACUGGGCGUAAAGCGCGCGUAGGCGGUCUGUUAAGUCAGAUGUGAAAGCCCUGGGCUCAACCUGGGAAUUGCAUUUGAUACUGGCGGGCUGGAGUCUGGUAGAGGGGGGUGGAAUUCCAGGUGUAGCGGUGAAAUGCGUAGAUAUCUGGAGGAACACCCGUGGCGAAGGCGGCCCCCUGGACCAAGACUGACGCUGAGGUGCGAAAGCGUGGGGAGCAAACAGGAUUAGAUACCCUAGUAGUCC